AGUGAACGCUGGCGGUAGGCCUAACACAUGCAAGUCGAACGGCAGCACAGUAAGAGCUUGCUCUUACGGGUGGCGAGUGGCGGACGGGUGAGGAAUACAUCGGAAUCUACUUUUUCGCGGGGAUGACGUAGGGAAACUUACGCUAAUACCGCAUACGACCUACGGGUGAAAGCAGGGGAUCUUCGGACCUUGCGCGAUUGAAUGAGCCGAUGUCGGAUUAGCUAGUUGGCGGGGUAAAGGCCCACCAAGGCGACGAACCGUAGCUGGUCUGAGAGGAUGAUCAGCCACACUGGAACUGAGACACGGUCCAGACUCCUACGGGAGGCAGCAGUGGGGAAUAUUGGACAAUGGGCGCAAGCCUGAUCCAGCCAUACCGCGUGGGUGAAGAAGGCCUUCGGGUUGUAAAGCCCUUUUGUUGGGAAAGAAAAGCAGCAGGUUAAUACCCCGCUGUUCUGACGGUACCCAAAGAAUAAGCACCGGCUAACUUCGUG
rnacentral:rRNA from 1 species